ensembl:lncRNA
UGUGGCUGAGGGUUACUGGAGACGGAAGACCCACCCUGGGUGCUCGUGACACCAACCCAUGGGCGUCCACCUGAAUGGAAUAAAAAGAAAUGAAGAAGGAAGACUCGUGUCUGCUUCUUCCGAGGAGCUCCAGUCUUUGCCUUCCCCUUGGAUGUCACCUCCUGGAUUCCAGAGCAGACUCUUCGGAUUCUAGUACCGACCCUUCCACCUCCCAUGACAGACCCUUUGGGCUCCUGAUACCAACUUGCACAAAACACUGCAGUGAGCUCCAGGCCUUCAGCUGAGUCCUUCAGAUGUCCAGCGUGCAGCCAGACCUUGUGCAUUUUUCCACUCCUGACUCUGUGGGCAGCCAUUGUAAGCAAAUCUUCAUGGACAAAAGAUUGGGCAAUUACCGCCAUCAUCUCCACUUCCCUGCUCACCUCCAAGGACUUCCACUCACCUCCGUCAUUUCCAGCAGCACCAACCUUCAGUACCCCAGCAACACUGCGCACUUCCACCCUACUACCAGCCCCCGCUGCUCCUCCGCCUCCGCCACCAUUCCGCAAUGACUCCCAGCAUCACACGAGCAACCUCCUCACCCUCAGGGCCUCCCACACCACACCCAGACCUUCCGUCCACACCCCAGUUUCACCAUGGACUCUGUCACCACUGUCCCACUGUCCAGCCAACGCUCACGCCCUGCAGUCACCACAGUCCUGGCCACAGCAGCGCUGACGGCAGACAGGGUACUUGAUGCUCAUAAUCCCUAAGCAGCACUGAAGGCAUUUGGUCUUGGCUUGUCUAUGGGGAAGUUAAACAACCUCUGUAGGUUCUCACGACUUCUCGUUUGUGGAGCAAUGAUCCCGCUCCACGAUUCUCUGUAUCCCAAACCUGUGACCUUGUCAUUACAGCAGCCUGUGCUUCUGCCUACAUAAUCAUCCUAUUUUGAAAGGCCCAACUGUAUUUUCUUCUCUAGAGUAUAGAAUGGACUUUCUUCUUCCAGACUUUAUUCACUACAGAUAUGAGGAGUUAAUCUUGUCUGGGAGAGAUUGUCUCAGUUAUUGAAACAACAGGAAGUUAAAGUCACGACAGAAAGACAAGGCACAGAAAGCUUAAAGGGGGUUGGUAAGAGUGGCAGAGUCACAUGUGGGGCUGAAAACCAUCAUCAGCGUGGGCCCUGAUUGCUGCUCUGGGGGGCUCAGCCCUUCCAGCUGAGGUAGGGAGGAGCAGCACCCUGAAGUGAGGUCCUCUUCCGGUCCUGAUGAGAUUUCCAGACUUUAUGGAGGGAUAUGCAGAUACGUUGGUUUUGCUUUGAAAGAUUUUUAUCUGCCACUUUGUAGUUCUUUCUGUCAUAAACUUGAACUGAAAAGGAUAUUAAAUUGAGAGAAACAACAUAAUACAUUCUUAUUUUUCACAUACACACAAGAGACUCUUAGUAGGCUUUGUCUCCACUCCCAUGUAGAAGGAAGUUUGGAUGAUGUCUUAGCCCAGUUUUCACUGCUCCGCCAAAGCUAGCAUCUCCUCCAUCCAGUGAAAGAGAAAAUGGAUUUAUUAACUGUCCUAUUGACACUUGUGAGAUGCCUCAGGCUGCCUAUCUGACAGAACCAGAAACCCUGAGCAGUGAUUCUGUACUACAGGGAGAAGCUACCAAGAGGAAGUGGGCAAAGUGCAUAAAUGAAGAGUCUCUUCUGUGCUCGAAAGCCUGAUACUCUACUUUAUGUGUUCAUAUUAGAGAACACUUAUUUCUCCACCUAGAUCAGCAGACUCUGUCACUUUGAAGCCUCUGGGGCAUAUAUUUCUCCUUCUGUUAUCCCUAUGAGGUUGUUUUGCAAGUAUUUGCAAAUAUAGCACUUGUUAGGAGACCCUCCACAGAGGAAGACACUGCACACUCUUCUCAGGCCUGUCCACAGAAAGGGACGCAGGCAUCCAUUACACAGGAGUAACCAGGAGCAGUUCUGACUCACCUCCCUGCUUCAUCCACAAAGACACCCGGAAGGAUGGCAUUGCACAUUCUUAAGACUCUUCCAAGCAUCUUGUUCUUCUUUCUAUUUACAGAAGUUAAGGAAACAAAUCAUCUCAUCAGAUAGUUUAUGGAUAUCUUUGGACCUAUGGUAAAAGCCAUUAUCCAAAAGUACAAAUAUAUAGAAAAGACUCACAAACAAGUCUGUGUCCUCAGGCCACUGAUGGCCACUGAGAUUGCUGCUUUUGAACCCUCCAUCUGUUGGCGAAUGGGAUAACUUUCCUCAGGAGAAUGUGCUGGUGGAGACCUGGAGGGACAAGUAUCUCUGUGCAAGGAGCAGCUGGCCUUUCUUUCAGAGCACACAUCACCCCUCAGCAGCCUGGGCUGAUGCAGCGCUGUGGCUCAUUUUGCUCCCAGGACCUACUAAAUAAUGAGUCUGAAAGCUGCAUUCAUAGCAUUGAUGAGGAGUGCCGUGCCUGGCACCAAAACUACCAUGUUGGUAAUCGCCUUUGGACUGAGAGAGUAAGCAGCACAGAAUGCCUGUGUUCCACCCUCAGGUGAGACGGAGACGCGCCCCAGGGCCAGGGCCGGAGGACGUCGCUUCUUUUCCAAGCCGGUUUGGGAAAACGAAACAUGGUUUGCUUGACCCGUUUCAGUUCUGAUUUGUCCACGAGAGCUCUACCGGUGCACCCCAGUCACAGUGUCGUCCCGUGCACCCCGAGAAGACUCUGCUCCUCCUCCUCCUCCGCAGAGCCUCACUGCUCCGCAGACCUCUGUGCCUCUCGUCAAGGCGUGAUGAUUCCAAACAAAAUCCAAGAUGCGGUAAUCUGUUAAGUGCAGUGCCCAUGCUCCCUUCUGGCUGAAAAAGAACGCAUUUGAAUCACACAUUCCCAUACUAAAGCAUUUAGAGUGGUGUCUAUGGUGUGCUUCAUUUCUACAAAAAUAAUUCUACUACUAGAAAAGGCAUCUCUUUCAAUAAACAGUGCAAUAAGGGCCUGGCUUGAGGACUCCGGGCUGUAACUCACUCUUUUGGAUAGCUACGGAACAUCAGUGUGCUGGGUAUUCCAUGAUGUACUCAAGCCUCACUACUGAGGAGGGUUCUUCUUUCCACUAUUUGCCCAUUAAAAAUAAAGAAUGCUGCAUUUAACAUAUUUGAAUAUGAUGCUUCCAUAUUCAUAGGA